ACCCCCGAGGGCGGGCCUCCUUCGGCCGUCGCCUCCCCCAUCAGCCCGCUCCGACUCCUCUCCGGAACGCGGCCUUUCCCCGCUCUUCCGGCCCUCCCCUCCCCUGCUCUGCGUUUUCCAGCGUUCAUCAUCGCCCACACCACGGCCAGCCGAGCGUGUUUGCUGUCGGUCUCAGGCCCUUCACCCCCAGGCUCCACGAGGGCAGAGGUUUUGGUGCCCAGCGCUUCUGGGAAAUGAAUGAGAAAGCUGCAGAGAAUGGGAGAGCGACAGAGGACCGUCACCCAGGGUCGCCGUGGCAGCUCUUUUAGUUCAGGGGCGACCAUCACCCACCACUCCAGUUGCCCGGCCCUCACAAGGACAGCAGCGAAGAGCCACGCUGUGAGUGACAGCAACCGUCAUGCCUGUGCACAGACGCCUGAUGGAGAAAGUCCUGAUAAUACAGGGUCUAUCUUGAGCACCCUUUCCAAAAUGAAGACUCGUAAUAAAGCCAGCUGAUCAAGCGUCAUACUCUUAAUCCCUUAUCAGAGUCAUUACACAUGGGAGCGAAAGAGAGAAGCUUGGAGAGAAGAUUCCUCUUGAGAUCUGAAUCCCUGAAAUCUAAACCCAGGGCACGUAAAUACCAUGCAGAGGAGUUAAUGAGGAAAAUGCCUACAGUUGUGUGACUCCAUAGUUUCGGAACAUCCAACACCUGAGUCACAGCUACCUGGGCCCCAAGCUGGGGCGGCAACACUGGGAUGUGACUAUGCGUUUUCAGUUUAACUUUAAGCAGUCGAAGUACAACAUCCACAAAGGAAAGUACAAGAUCCCAUGAACAAGGUUUGUCGAAUUAUCACAAAGUGAACAUACCUGGGUACUGCCAGAGGGAACAUUCCGGGCUCCCACACAGGUCUCUGUCCCUCCCCCAGAGGCAAACCACCACCCUGGCCUCCUCCAGCAAGACCACUGUGUCCCACUUAUUGAACUUCGUAUCAAUGGAACAGGAUAAGUGUUCUUUGUGCGUGGCUCCUUUUGUUCAAUAUUCUGGUGUUAAGGUUGGUCCUUGUAUGAGGGGCUUCCCUGGUGGCUCAGUGGUAAAGAAUCUGCCCGCAAUGCAGGAGACCUGGGUUCGAUCCCUGGGUCAGGAAGAUCGCCUGGAGGAGGGCAUGGCAACCCACUCCCGCAUUCUGGCCUGGAGAACCCCGUGGACGGAGGGUCAGACACAAUUGAAGGGAGUAAGCAGCAGCAGCUGUUGAAUGAAGCGCUAUUUCGUUUACUCCCAGAGCUGAGUGGGGUUAGCUGAAUGCAGGGCAAUUAUUUAUCCAUUCCACCCCUGAUGGAUACAGGGCUUGUGUCCACUUCAGGGCUAUGACGAGGAGCGCUGCUGUGAACCUUCUGGUACACAGAUUUGCGUUCACACACGUCCACAGUUCUGUUGGACAUGUGUGCAGGGCGGGGUGAGCCUGCCGGUCACACGCAGCAGAGACGACGCCAGCUGCCCCCAAGGUGAGCGCACGGCGUGUCCCCAUCCGCAGCACAUAAAAGUCCUCAUUCUCUACGUUUUUGCCAACACACGUUCUCCUAGGUCUUAAAUCUUAACCCUUCUGGUAAAUGUGAUGUUUCACUGUAGUUUUAGUGUGUAUUUCCCUGACUAAUAAAGUCAUUCUUCAAAUA